UUUAAAUGUAAAUAUAAAAUGAUAGAGUAGUAUUAGUUAUGUUCUUAAAACUUAAAAGAUUUGGCGGUAUUUUAUUCUAUUUAGAGGAACUUGUUUUAUCAUCGAUAAUCCUCGUUUUAUCUUACUUAAAUUUGUUUAAUUUGUAUAUCGUUGUCAUAAGAGUAUCUUAAAAAAGAAAUAAUAUUCAAUUUUAAAUAAUUUUUUUUAUGUCAGAUCAAGGUGCAGUGUAUAUUUAAGUAAAAAUGAGUUACAAUUAAUUUAUUAAUAAUGAAUAAUAAAUUGAAAAAUUUUUUUGAAGGUGGAUUUAAUAGUAAAUUUUAUAAAAAAAUAAGGUUGAUUAUAGUUUUAAAAUGUGU
rnacentral:rRNA from 1 species